rnacentral:rRNA from 1 species
CCUACGGGUGGCAGCAGUGGGGAAUAUUGGACAAUGGGCGAAAGCCUGAUCCAGCCAUGCCGCGUGUGUGAAGAAGGCCUUCGGGUUGUAAAGCACUUUCAGUGGGGAAGAAAGCCUUGGGGCUAAUACCCUCGAGGAAGGACAUCACCCACAGAAGAAGCACCGGCUAACUCCGUGCCAGCAGCCGCGGUAAUACGGAGGGUGCGAGCGUUAGUCGGAAUUACUGGGCGUAAAGCGCGCGUAGGCGGUCUGAUAAGCCGGUUGUGAAAGCCCCGGGCUCAACCUGGGAACGGCAUCCGGAACUGUCAGGCUAGAGUGCAGGAGAGGAAGGUAGAAUUCCCGGUGUAGCGGUGAAAUGCGUAGAGAUCGGGAGGAAUACCAGUGGCGAAGGCGGCCUUCUGGACUGACACUGACGCUGAGGUGCGAAAGCGUGGGUAGCAAACAGGAUUAGAUACCCGUGUAGUC